UACGUAGGGGGCAAGCGUUGUUCGGAAUUACUGGGCGUAAAGGGCGCGUAGGCGGCACAGCAAGUCGGGAGUGAAAGCCCGGGGCUCAACCUGGGAAUGGCAGUGGAAACUAGGGGACUGGAAUCUGGCAGAGGGGGGUGGAAUGCCGCGUGUAGCAGUGAAAUGCGUAGAGAUGCGGCGGAACACCGAUGGCGAAGGCAGCCCCCUGGGCUGAGAUUGACGCUCAGGCACGAAAGCGUGGGGAGCAAACAGG
rnacentral:rRNA from 1 species